AAAAGCCUGCUAAGUCAAAGGUUUGAAAACAAGAGUGACUUAGGAAAAAGUUAGGGCAUCGCGAUGGACUACAAAUCUCAAAGGAUCAUUCUAGACAAAAAUAAGUGAAAAGCAAAACAAAAAAGAGGAUCAAUAACAAAAAUCCUCAACAAGAGAAAAUCUCUAUGACUGCAAACAAAAGCAGAAGGUGAGUGAUUGUUG
rnacentral:lncRNA from 1 species